CUUCGCCCUGCAGGCCCCGCCCCUCCCCCGCCUCGCUGAACCCAGACACCCCUGUCCCCGGCGGUCUCUGCACGGCCGCCUCCUGGUCCUCGGGUUUCACCCUUCAGCCCAGCCGACCCCGGGGAAGAUGCCUGACCCGAGAGGGGCCCGGGGUCUCCUCCUCCGUCCACACCUGCCCCGCGGUCCUGCAGGGGACCCACCCGCCACGAUGACGGCGGGAUGCAGAUGCCCCAGGAGUCCAGGAGCGGCUCGGAAGGAAGGCCCCCAGCUGAGACGAGCCCCAGACAGGCGACAAGGCCUUCUGGGCCUGUGUGCCCCGCAGUUGCACACGGCGCUUGUCCUUCUCUCUGCUCAGCUGAGCGUCAGACCUUGCCCUCAUCAAAGCUGUGUAACCCUCCUGUGAAGCCGAAGCCCAGGGUCCCCCACUCUCCAACGGAGACCGUUCCUGAGUCGCAGAGGCCUACAGGGAAGCAGCAGUCACUGGAGGAGCCGUCUUGCUCACAGACGCACAAGAUAAACGGACCAAGCCCAGAUGCUCACAGACACAGUUCACACCGUGGCAGCUCAACGCUGAGAUGCUUCAUGUGGUCCCGGGGAAGGAAGGAGCUGGGCGGGGCCGCUCCCUGUGGGGUGGACACUGCCUCUGAAACGCUCCCUGCAAGACAGGCUGAGCAAACUCAGUCUUCACCUUUUGCACUUUUUUCUUGGUAAAAGCACAAAUCCUUGUUGAAUUUCUUUUGGUUACCAAAAACAGGUGCUGAAGUGGAUCGGUCUUGGGGGAGACCAGUAUUUAAUUGUCCCCAUUUCACAGAUAGGUAAGCUGAGGUACAAAGUACUCAGGCCUAAGAACUCGCCGAGUUUUCUGGAAGCAGAGGCCUCUGGCGGUCCACGGCUCUCCAGGGCACCAGGGGCUCCCGGCCGGCCCCGCCUCCAUCCUCUCAGCCCUCUCCUGACUGCCCACCUGCGCCUGCUGGUCACCGGCCUCAGCUGUGCACUCUGGCCACCACCGCGACACCGGGAAAGAAACUUCAGAAGCCCAGAGCGGGCUCAACAACUCACCUUGUUUGGGGAGUGGACGUUAACUCUUCCCAGGACAAACUCCGGGGGCGUCUGCUGCUCUCUGUGGCAGAGAGGCUGUGUGAUCUGGGGCACCCUUCGCUUUGCUCCUGAAAGUCUUUCAGACCGGGAGCAGAGGAACUCGGGACAGGUGACUAAGACACCAGCAGAAGACCAGCGUGGCUCUGGUUCCAGGCCUUUAGCUUCUAUUUUUCUGCGUUACAGUGUUCCUUCAGCGGUUCUCCCUGGCACGAGCACCAACACAGCAGCACGAAGCAGGACGCCAGGACGGACCAGGAAAUGGCAGGCAGGAUGAUGGAGAAGGGCGGACCUUACUUGAGUGCUUCUCAGUAAUCUAAUACUAGGCCCUCGGGGACCGGGCGAGCCUGGCUCUCCCCAAGGCCUGAGGUGGGGGUGCGGCUUCCGGCCAGCCUUCUCGAAGCCUCACCUGGGGCAUUUCAGAUGCCAGGAGUCACUGUCUGGUAUACCAGAUUCUGAACCAUAGCCUGUUACUGCCCUGUCUCAACUGUUGACAUUUAAACAACGUGAUAAACUGACGUUUAGAAGCUGUGGCUUUACUAGGGCAGAACAGAACCAAUCACAAUGAUUUGGGGUAUGACUCCAACACAAACUUGGGAAAAAAAUUUAAUGCAAAUAUUUAGCCAUUGGAACAUACAAAUAAAUAAAUAAGCUCAGAAUAGCCGAGGAAGAAAAUCCAAGUUAAGAGUAACUGCCCAUUUCUCUUCAGUCCCAGAUAUUCCAUUUCCAAAAUACUGCUAAUAUACAAAUAAUUAAUAAGUAAAGAAGAUAUAGACCAUCCAACAUAAAACGACCUAAAAUAAAAAAAUAAAACCAAGGACAAACCCUAAUUAUUUUAUUUCUGUAUAU